rnacentral:rRNA from 1 species
UACGUAGGGUGCAAGCGUUAAUCGGAUUUAUUGGGCGUAAAGCGUGCGCAGGCGGCUAUGCACGUCAGGUGUGAAAUCCCCGGGCUCAACCUGGGAACUGCAUUUGUGACUGCAUGGCUAGAGUACGGUAGAGGGGGAUGGAAUUCCGCGUGUAGCAGUGAAAUGCGUAGAUAUGCGGAGGAACACCGAUGGCGAAGGCAAUCCCCUGGACCUGUACUGACGCUCAUGCACGAAAGCGUGGGGAGCAAACAGG